rnacentral:rRNA from 1 species
UACAGAGGGUGCGAGCGUUGUCCGGAAUCACUGGGCGUAAAGGGCGCGUAGGCGGUGACUUAAGCGUGUGGUGAAAGCUCGGGGCUCAACCCCGAGUCGGCCGUGCGAACUGGGUCACUGGAGCAUGUCAGAGGCAGGCGGAAUUCCGGGUGUAGCGGUGGAAUGCGUAGAGAUCCGGAAGAACACCGGAGGCGAAGGCGGCUUGCUGGACCUGGUCUGACGCUGAGGCGCGAAAGCGUGGGGAGCGAACAGG